rnacentral:rRNA from 1 species
UUGGAGGGCAAGUCUGGUGCCAGCAGCCGCGGUAAUUCCAGCUCCAAUAGCGUAUAUUAAAGUUGUUGCAGUUAAAAAGCUCGUAGUUGAAUUUCGGGGUCAGUAGAUUGGUCAUGCCACUGGUAUGUACUGGUCUCACUGAUUCCUCCUUCCUGAUGAGCCGUAAUGCCAUUAAUUUGGUGUUGCGAGGAAUCUGGACUGUUACUUUGAAAAAAUUAGAGUGUUUAAAGCAGGCUAACGCUUGAAUACAUUAGCAUGGAAUAAUGAAAUAGGACGUUCGAUCUUAUUUUGUUGGUUUCUAAGAUUGACGUAAUGAUUAAUAGGGAUAGUUGGGGGCAUUAGUAUUCAAUUGUCAGAGGUGAAAUUCUUGGAUUUAUUGAAGACUAACUACUGCGAAAGCAUUUGCCAAGGAUGUUUUCAUUAAUCAAGAACGAAAGUUAGGGGAUCGAAGACGAUCAGAUACCGUCGUAGUCUUAACCAUAAACUAUGCCGACUAGGGAUCGGAUGAUGUUAAUUUUUUAAUGACUCAUUCGGCACCUUACGGGAAAAUC